rnacentral:rRNA from 1 species
GACAGAGGGUGCAAACGUUGUUCGGAAUUACUGGGCGUAAAGCGCGUGUAGGCGGUUAUGCAAGGCGGGUGUGAAAGCCCGGAGCUCAACUCCGGAAGUGCAUUCGAUACUGCGUAGCUAGAGUACUGGAGAGGAUGGUGGAACUCUCGGUGUAGAGGUGAAAUUCGUAGAUAUCGAGAAGAACACCGGUGGCGAAGGCGGCCAUCUGGACAGAUACUGACGCUGAGACGCGAAAGCGUGGGGAGCAAACAGG